GACUCCUGUGCCUACUGAGCUGAUAACAGUUCUAGUUAAACACUGGCUCAGUUCAGCAGGAACAGGAGU
rnacentral:pre_miRNA from 1 species